rnacentral:rRNA from 1 species
UACGUAGGGGGCAAGCGUUGUCCGGAAUCAUUGGGCGUAAAGCGCGUGUAGGCGGUUCGGUAAGUCUGCUGUGAAAGUCCAGGGCUCAACCCUGGGAUGCCGGUGGAUACUGUCGGACUAGAGUACGGAAGAGGCGAGUGGAAUUCCCGGUGUAGCGGUGAAAUGCGCAGAUAUCGGGAGGAACACCAAUUGCGAAGGCAGCUCGCUACACGAAUAUUGACUCUGAGGCACGAAAGCGUGGGGAUCAAACAGG